UUGGAAUUUUCUCUUCGCAGCAGGUCUUCGAGUCUCGUUGAGCUGAACUUGUACUCUUAGAAGCUGGUUUGGAAGGUAUUCUAACCUGAGCGGGAGUUCGACCGACCUUUGGGUCAUCCUUGGUUGGCUUUGAGAAGCCUUUAGAGACUUAAUUGGAGCAGCAUUGGGGCUUCGUUGAGCCGUUUGUGGGACUUCUUGUGGAUACUUGGAGCCUUGUAAUAG